AAUGAGUUGCCUGAUCAAAGGGUUAUUUUGAUGUAAUAAAUUAAGUAGUAAAUACACUCAUUG
rnacentral:tRNA from 1 species